UACGUAGGGGGCGAGCGUUGUCCGGAUUUAUUGGGCGUAAAGAGCGUGUAGGCGGCCAGGUAGGUCGGUUGUGAAAACUGGAGGCUUAACCUUCAGACGUCGACCGAAACCAUCUGGCUAGAGUCCGGAAGAGGAGAGUGGAAUUCCUGGUGUAGCGGUGAAAUGCGCAGAUAUCAGGAGGAACACCGGUGGCGAAGGCGGGUCUCUGGGCGAACAACUGACGCUGAGGAGCGAAAGCGUGGGGAGCGAACAGG
rnacentral:rRNA from 1 species